GGCCUCGUAGCCUAGUCGGUAGAGCCUACUGCCUACGAAGCAGGAGGUCCCGGGUUCGAAUCCUGGUGAGGGCA